rnacentral:rRNA from 1 species
UACGGAGGGCGCAAGCGUUGUUCGGAAUUACUGGGCGUAAAGCGCGUGUAGGCGGUCUGGUAAGUCGGAUGUGAAAUCCCCGGGCUCAACCCGGGAACUGCAUCCGAAACUGCUGGGCUAGAGUCCCGGAGAGGAAGGCAGAAUUCCCAAUGUAGGGGUGAAAUCCGUAGAUAUUGGGAGGAAUACCAGUGGCGAAGGCGGCCUUCUGGACGGUGACUGACGCUGAGACGCGAAAGCGUGGGGAGCAAAC